GGGGAAAGGGAAAUGUUCCGCGUCAAGCUUUGGUUUCUGGGCGGUUGGUUCAUCAGCCCUCUGGAGUCACAAAGGGAGACAGAGACACAGACGAUGCACAAGCCAGCCAACUGCUCAUCAGUGUCCGACACCAGCUGCCAGCCAUCACACCUGGACAUGGGGCAACUUGUUCUUUUCAGUUUUUCUUUGAGUCACGUGGACAAAUCUCCAGCUUAUGAACGUCCGGGGCACGGAGGGCUGUGUCUCAGGAGGAUUUGCCUGCCUCCCGAGGUGGGAAGACUUUAGCAACCCAACGGUGACAUCAGGAAGUGUCACCGGAGCACGCCCGGUCUCCUUCCUUGGAACACAGGCUCCCUGUGACGAGGCCAGCUCUGGGUGACGGAUCAAAGCAGGAGAGGACACCGUGGAUGAGUGAGGACACAGUGGACGCAUCUCUAUUAUGAGGCAGCCAUGGAGACGAGUGCAGAGAUUUGCCUACCUUUCAUCACUUUCUCAUGAAAAGACAUCAAAAUUUCCCCUGCUAUUGUCACGAUCCGGUAAACUACAUAAAAUCCAGACCAUAAUGGAGAGGUGGCAUCCACGCAUACAGAAAUGAUAUCUAAAGCCUAAAUAUACUUCAAAACCCUGGAAAAUGAUCUGAGAAAUAGGAACAGGGGGCCGAGAUGUAUGCCAGGCUUCUAAUAAAACUCAUCCAUUGAAAAAGACCAUCUUUAAAGUUUGCAAAUCACCUGGAUUUUAGAGAAACUUACAGAAACCACAAUAAUAGAGGCUCCCAGCAGUCCACAGUGCUUAGGUGCGGGAACACGCCGCAUAGCAAUUCUUUCCGCCAGAAGCUCAGCAUGCCCCAAGCUCUGCCGUCUAACUUGUCUAAUGUCUGAGAAGGAUCCCCCCUGGCAGAGCUUUCUUUCAGGGAGAAGGUAUUUUAUAGUCAUUGCUUAAGGAGCAUGAGCUAUGUUUUUAGCUUUUUGAAAGCAGCAAACUUACCUUUCUACAGCAAAUAGAAAUACAGCUUUCAUCUUCAUUUUAUGGAUUUUUAGGUACUGCUAAA
rnacentral:lncRNA from 1 species